AUGAGUAGGGCGGGACACGUGGUAUCCUGUCUGAAUAUGGGGGGACCAUCCUCCAAGGCUAAAUACUCCUGACUGACCGAUAGUGAACCAGUACCGUGAGGGAAAGGCGAAAAGAACCCCGGCGAGGGGAGUGAAAAAGAACCUGAAACCGUGUACGUACAAGCAGUGGGAGCACAGGUUUACCUGUGUGACUGCGUACCUUUUGUAUAAUGGGUCAGCGACUUAUAUUCUGUAGCAAGGUUAACCGAAUAGGGGAGCCGGAGGGAAACCGAGUCUUAACCGGGCGUUAAGUUGCAGGGUAUAGACCCGAAACCCGGUGAUCUAGCCAUGGGCAGGUUGAAGGUUGGGUAACACUAACUGGAGGACCGAACCGACUAAUGUUGAAAAAUUAGCGGAUGACCUGUGGCUGGGGGUGAAAGGCCAAUCAAACCGGGAGAUAGCUGGUUCUCCCCGAAAGCUAUUUAGGUAGCGCCUCGUGAACUCAUCUCCGGGGGUAGAGCACUGUUUCGGCUAGGGGGCCAUCCCGGCUUACCAACCCGAUGCAAACUGCGAAUACCGGAGAAUGUUAUCACGGGAGACACACGGCGGGUGCUAACGUCCGUCGUGAAGAGGGAAACAACCCAGACCGCCAGCUAAGGUCCCAAAGUCAUGGUUAAGUGGGAAACGAUGUGGGAAGGCCCAGACAGCCAGGAUGUUGGCUUAGAAGCAGCCAUCAUUUAAAGAAAGCGUAAUAGCUCACUGGUCGAGUCGGCCUGCGCGGAAGAUGUAACGGGGCUAAACCAUGCACCGAAGCUGCGGCAGCGAACGUAUCACCCAAGACAACUUUGCGGAGUUGACGAUUGACGGAGCGAAGCGACGUCAAAGCGUUCAUUAAAGUCGAGUUGGCUUAGGGAUACGUUCGUUGGGUAGGGGAGCGUUCUGUAAGCCAGUGAAGGUGUGUCGUGAGGCAUGCUGGAGGUAUCAGAAGUGCGAAUGCUGACAUAAGUAACGAUAAAGCGGGUGAAAAGCCCGCUCGCCGGAAGACCAAGGGUUCCUGUCCAACGUUAAUCGGGGCAGGGUGAGUCGACCCCUAAGGCGAGGCCGAAAGGCGUAGUCGAUGGGAAACGGGUUAAUAUUCCCGUACUUGGUGUUACUGCGAAGGGGGGACGGAGAAGGCUAUGUUGGCCGGGCGACGGUUGUCCCGGUUUAAGCGUGUAGGUGUGUGUUCCAGGUAAAUCCGGUUCACUUUAACACUGAGGCGUGAUGACGAGGCACUACGGUGCUGAAGUAACAAAUGCCCUGCUUCCAGGAAAAGCCUCUAAGCAUCAGGUAAC
rnacentral:rRNA from 1 species